rnacentral:rRNA from 1 species
GUCUUCAGUUAUAGCACCCAGAACACGCCCGAACUUGUCUGAUCUUGGAAGCCCAAGCAGGGUCUGGCCUGGUUAAUACUUAGACGGGAGAAUGGAGAAAUUGCUGGACUUUGACAAUG